GGCCGGUUAGCUCAGUUGGUUAGAGCGCGGUGCUAAUAUCGCUGAGAUCGUGAGUUCGAUCCCCAUAUCAGCCA
rnacentral:tRNA from 1 species